UUACGGCCAUAACACAUUGAAACACCGGUUCCCGUACAAUUACCGAAGUUAAGCAACGUCGGACCUGGUCAAUACCUAAAUGAGUGACCACUUGAAAAUACCAGGUGAUGUAA